rnacentral:rRNA from 1 species
CCUACGGGGGGCAGCAGUAGGGAAUCUUUCACAAUGGGCGAAAGCCUGAUGGAGCAACGCCGCGUGCAGGAUGAAGGCCUUCGGGUUGUAAACUGCUUUUAUAAGCGAGAAAUAUGAUGGUAACUUAUGAAUAAGGAUCGGCUAACUACGUGCCAGCAGCCGCGGUCAUACGUAGGAUCCGAGCAUUAUCCGGAGUGACUGGGUGUAAAGAGUUGCGUAGGUGGCAUAAUAAGUAGCUAGUGAAAUCUGGUGGCUCAACCAUUCAGACUAUUAGCUAAACUGUUAAGCUCGAGACCGUUAGGGGUAACUGGAAUGUCUAGUGUAGGGGUGAAAUCCGUAGAUAUUAGAAGGAACACCAAUAGCGUAGGCAGGUUGCUGGGACGGUUCUGACACUAAGGCACGAAAGCGUAGGGAGCAAACGGGAUUAGAUACCCGAGUAGUC